UGCCUUUGGAAGUGUGGAACCAUGAUUCGGUGAAGGAGCCUGAACGAGCCUGCUGGAUGAGGAAACCCAGGUCACCUCCCUAACGGACAUCAAGCGAACCAUUGGACAUGGGAGGGAGACCAUCCCAGACGCGUCCACCCCAGCCCAGCCCACUCCGAGGAAAAGAGGCUCCCCAGCGGAUCCACAGAACAGAAAGCAUGGAAACUUCGUGAUGCUGGGCCCCCAGGGAAUGCCUGGCGCCUCGAGCCACCCCUGCUUCCAUAGUAAGCCAUGAAUCGCCAUAACCCCUGGAGGAAAGAAUGACUCUUGGUGACUAGGCGCUGUGUGGAUGCAAAUAAUUCCCAUCGUUGAGAAUAAAGAGGAAAACCUGGAGACCAGGAGGUUUCUUAAUGGGCUAUGUGUCAUACAGCUUAUAAGGGACAGCGCUGUCGUUCACACCAGGGUCUGUCGGAUUUUAAAACCAUGCCGAUUCCCUCCCGAAGACCAGCCCUUCUUCCAUAAGGUCCACACAUCCUUUCAGAAAGGAUCCAUCCUUGGAAGUCUUCAGGCUGAGCCGAGAGGGGACUUGAGGAGUCUAAAUCUUGCUAAGGUCUAGGUAUUUGAUGAAGGGAGAAGGGAAGCCGGUGCCAAGAAGACAUCGGGGCCUCAUGAGCCAAGGGGAGACGCAACAUAUGACAGCAAACCCAGGGAGAAUCUGCCGGCCGUCUGCCUCCUUGCACCGUCAAGUUGACCUUGCUCCCUGAUUUCCAUACGGGUCCUUCCUCAGGAGGGUAAGAGGAGGCUUGGGAGAACCGGACGUGAGGAUGCCCCCCGAUCAAGAACCUCUCGGGGUACCUGGGUGGCUCUGUCAGGGAAGCCUCUCACUUCGGCUCAGGGCAUGAU